rnacentral:rRNA from 1 species
AUUGAACGCUGGCGGCAUGCCUUACACAUGCAAGUCGAACGGUAACGGGCCUUCGGGUGCCGACGAGUGGCGAACGGGUGAGUAAUGUAAUCGGAACGUACCUUUCAGUGGGGGAUAACGUAGCGAAAGUUACGCUAAUACCGCAUAUUCUGUGAGCAGGAAAGCAGGGGAUCGCAAGACCUUGCGCUGAUUGAGCGGCCGAUAUCAGAUUAGCUAGUUUGGUGAGGUAAAGGCUCACCAAGGCGACGAUCUGUAGCGGGUCUGAGAGGAUGAUCCGCCACACUGGAACUGAGACACGGUCCAGACUCCUACGGGAGGCAGCAGUGGGGAAUUUUGGACAAUGGGGGCAACCCUGAUCCAGCCAUGCCGCGUGAGUGAAGAAGGCCUUCGGGUUGUAAAGCUCUUUUCGGCCGGGAGAAAUCGUGUUCUCUAACAUAGGACAUGGAUGACGGUACCGGACUAGAAGCACCGGCUAACUACGUGCCAGCAGCCGUAC